rnacentral:rRNA from 1 species
UACGUAGGGGGCAAGCGUUGUCCGGAUUUACUGGGCGUAAAGAGCGUGUAGGCGGCCAAGCAGGUCCGUUGUGAAAACUGGAGGCUUAACCUCCAGACGUCGACGGAAACCGCGUGGCUAGAGUCCGGAAGAGGAGAGUGGAAUUCCUGGUGUAGCGGUGAAAUGCGCAGAUAUCAGGAAGAACACCAAUGGCGAAGGCAGCUCUCUGGGACGGUACUGACGCUGAGACGCGAAAGCGUGGGGAUCGAACAGG